AUUGAACGCUGGCGGCAGGCCCAACACAUGCAAGUCGAACGGUAACAGGAAGAAGCUUGCUUCUUUGCUGACGAGUGGCGGACGGGUGAGUAAUGUCUGGGAAACUGCCUGAUGGAGGGGGAUAACUACUGGAAACGGUAGCUAAUACCGCAUAACGUCGCAAGACCAAAGAGGGGGACCUUCGGGCCUCUUGCCAUCGGAUGUGCCCAGAUGGGAUUAGCUAGUAGGUGGGGUAACGGCUCACCUAGGCGACGAUCCCUAGCUGGUCUGAGGGGAUGACCAGCCACACUGGAACUGAGACACGGUCCAGACUCCUACGGGAGGCAGCAGUGGGGAAUAUUGCACAAUGGGCGCAAGCCUGAUGCAGCCAUGCCGCGUGUAUGAAGAAGGCCUUCGGGUUGUAAAGUACUUUCAGCGGGGAGGAAGGGAGUAAAGUUAAUACCUUUGCUCAUUGACGUUACCCGCAGAAGAAGCACCGGCUAACUCCGUG
rnacentral:rRNA from 1 species